rnacentral:rRNA from 1 species
GAUGAACGCUGGCGGCGUGCCUAAUACAUGCAAGUCGAGCGAACGGACGAGACGCUUGCUUCUCUGUUGUUAGCCGCGCACGGGUGAGUCACACGUGGAUACCCUCCCUAUCAGACUGGGAUCACUUCGGGACACCGGCGCUAAUACCGUAUAAUAUUUUGCACCACAUUGUUCAAAAGUGAAAGACGGUCUUUCUGUCACUUAUAGAUGGUUCCGCGCUGCAUUAGCUAGUUGUUAAGGUACUGGCGUACCAAGGCGACGAUGCAUAGCCGACGUGAGAGGGGGGUCGGCGACAUGGGAAGGGAGACGCGGACAAGAGGACUGCGGGAGGGAGCAGUAGGGAAUGGUCGGCAAUGGGCGAAAGCAUGACGGAGCGAGGGCGCGUGAGUGAUGAAGGUGUUCGGAUCGUAAAACUCUGUUAUUGGGGAAGAACAGAUGUGGAAGGAAAUGAGCAGAUAGUGACGGUACCGAAUAAGAAAGCAACGGCUAACUACGUG